CCAGUAGCGUAUAUUAAAGUUGUUGCAGUUAAAAAGCUCGUAGUUGAAUUUCGGGGUCAGCAGGUUGGUCGUGCCAAUGGUAUGCACUGGCCUUGCUGAUUCCUCCCUCUUGAUGAGCCGUAAUGCCAUUAAUUUGGUGUUGCGGGGAAUCAGGACUGUUACUUUGAAAAAAUUAGGGUGUUUAAAGCAGGCAAGCGCUUGAAUACAUUAGCAUUGAAUAAUGAAAUAGGACGUUCGAUCCUAUUUUGUUGGUUUCUAGGAUUGACGUAAUGAUUAAUAGGGAUAGUUGGGGGCAUUAGUAUCCAAUUGUCAGAGGUGAAAUUCUUGGAUUUAUUGAAGACUAACUACUGCGAAAGCAUUUGCCAAGGAUGUUUUCAUUAAUCAAGAACGAAAGUUAGGGGAUCGAGGACGAUCAGAUACCGUCGUAGUCUUAACCAUGAACUAUGCCGACUAGGGAUCGGAUGAUGUUAAUUUUUUAAUGACUCAUUCGGCGCCUUACG
rnacentral:rRNA from 1 species